GAACGCACCUUGCACCCUCUAGUAUUCUGGAGGGUAUGCCUGUUUGAGUGUCAUUAAUCUCUCAACACAAGAAAACUUGUUUCUUGUGCUUGGAUAUUGAAGGUUUUGCUGGCGCAAAUAACUGUCAGCUCCUUUUAAAUGCAUUAGCAGAGCAGUGUAGGACUGGCCUCAGUUUGAUAAGAAAUAUUUAUCUAUGCUGUCGCUAGAUUUCCUCUUUGUGUUCAGCUUCAAACUGUCUUCGGACUGUCUCUCUUGAGGCAAAACAAUUCAUUGAUCGACCUCAAAUCAGGUAGGACUACCCGCUGAACUUAAG
rnacentral:misc_RNA from 1 species